UACGAAGGGGGCUAGCGUUGCUCGGAAUCACUGGGCGUAAAGCGCACGUAGGCGGCUUGUUAAGUCAGGGGUGAAAUCCUGGAGCUCAACUCCAGAACUGCCUUUGAUACUGGGAAGCUUGAGUUCGGGAGAGGUGAGUGGAACUGCGAGUGUAGAGGUGAAAUUCGUAGAUAUUCGCAAGAACACCAGUGGCGAAGGCGGCUCACUGGCCCGAUACUGACGCUGAGGUGCGAAAGCGUGGGGAGCAAACAGG
rnacentral:rRNA from 1 species